GAAUACAACAGUAAGACGAGAAGACCCUUAUGGAGCUUUAAUUACGCGGACAAAGAGACCCAUUAAUUUCAACCGGCCGGAACAUCAAACCUCUGUAUGGGCCGACAAUUUAGGUUGGGGUGACCUCGGAGAACAGANCAACCUCCGAGUGAUUUAAAUCCAGACUAACCAGUCGAAAGUAUUACAUCUCUUAUUGAUCCAAAAGUUNGAUCAACGGACCAGGUUCCCCUAGGGAUA
rnacentral:rRNA from 1 species